GAUGAACGCUGGCGGCGUGCCUAAUACAUGCAAGUCGAGCGAACAGACGAGGAGCUUGCUCCUCUGACGUUAGCGGCGGACGGGUGAGUAACACGUGGAUAACCUACCUAUAAGACUGGGAUAACUUCGGGAAACCGGAGCUAAUACCGGAUAAUAUAUUGAACCGCAUGGUUCAAUAGUGAAAGACGGUUUUGCUGUCACUUAUAGAUGGAUCCGCGCCGCAUUAGCUAGUUGGUAAGGUAACGGCUUACCAAGGCAACGAUGCGUAGCCGACCUGAGAGGGUGAUCGGCCACACUGGAACUGAGACACGGUCCAGACUACUACGGGAGGCAGCAGUAGGGAAUCUUCGGCAAAGGGCGAAAGCAUGACGGAGCAACGCCGCGUGAGUGAUGAAGGUCUUCGGAUCGUAAAACUCUGUUAUUAGGGAAGAACAAAUGUGUAAGUAACUAUGCACGUCUUGACGGUACCUAAUCAGAAAGCCACGGCUAACUACGUG
rnacentral:rRNA from 1 species